GGCCUGAUGGUCUAGUAGUAUGAUUCCUUGUUAGGGCUGAGCAAGCAAUUUCGAGGAGGUCCCGGGUUCAAUUCCCGGUCAGGCCC
rnacentral:tRNA from 1 species